CUACACAUGCAGUCGAACGAUGACGGUGGUGCUUGCAUCACCUGAUUAGUGGCGAACGGGUGAGUAACACGUGAGUAACCUGCCCUUCACUUCGGGAUAACCUCGGGAAAUCGUGGCUAAUACCGGAUAUGAGCUCCUUCCGCAUGGCGGGGGUUGGAAAGAUUUAUCGGUGAAGGAUGGACUCGCGGCCUAUCAGUUUGUUGGUGAGGUAAUGGCUCACCAAGGCGAUGACGGGUAGCCGGCCUGAGAGGGCGACCGGCCACACUGGGACUGAGACACGGCCCAGACUCCUACGGGAGGCAGCAGUGGGGAAUAUUGCACAAUGGGCGAAAGCCUGAUGCAGCGACGCCGCGUGGGGGAUGACGGCCUUCGGGUUGUAAACCCCUUUCAGUAGGGAAGAAGCGAAAGUGACGGUACCUGCAGAAGAAGCGCCGGCUAACUACGUGCCAGCCGCCGCGGUAAUACGUAGGGCGCAAGCGUUGUCCGGAAUUAUUGGGCGUAAAGAGCUCGUAGGUGGCUUGUCGCGUCUGCGGUGAAAACCCGAGGCUCAACCUCGGGCGUGCGGUGGGUAC
rnacentral:rRNA from 1 species